GCUGGCUGGGCGAGUGGCCCCGCAUGUGUGCCUGCAUGGAAGCCAGGCUGGGGCAGCCGGCUCCGCACAGAGAGCAGCGACAGAACAAGAAUAGGGCCUGGACCGAGCAGGAGGAGGCCUGAAAGGCUGUUGGCGAGAUGGGCAGCCUGCUUUGCCCACAUGACCCACACAGGUUGCAAGUGCACCUGUGGGGACAAAGAAGGUAAAGGAGGGCAGAGCUGGGAAUCCCAGAGUCGGAUCACUGGAACACCCAGGCAAGAUAUCAGGGGCUACAAUGGGACUGAAGCAAAAGUAUCCUCACCCUACCCACCUGUGUGCCUCUGAUCAGACUCUUCCAUCUCCCCAGCGCUGAGCUUUGCGGGGCCCUGGGGGAGGGAACCUGGAGAGAACAGAGUGAAGUAGGGGCCCUACUCAGGCUGGACUCCUGCAGCCCCAGCCCCAGCAGAGAGACCAUAUUACAGGGUUCAUGCAGGACAGUGAAGGGCUUACCUGAGGUAGAGCUAGAGAAGGCCAACUGAUUCUGGCUCCUGAGCCCUUUGUGGAGGUUCAGGGACAGUGGAAUCCUAGGGGUGGGGUGGAGAAGAGUAACAGAGUUGGCAAAACCUGGGAUCCUGACCAACCCCAUCCUGGAGAGGAAGGUGAUGUAUAUUCUCAGGUGCUGGGCUUUGGUUUCCCCUGUGGUGGGAGCUUUUUGUCCUAUCUCCAGUUCAGGAAAUGUACAAUAGAGAUAAAAGAUGUGGUGCCCUUUCACCAAUCACCCUUGCCUCACCUGAGCUACUCCCUCCCAGAUAGGCUUCCAUUGGGCCCUUCACUCACCUCUGAUCCUGAGGCCAGACCUCUUGCCAGGCUGCACUGAUGGAAGUACUAUGGGAGAAAGGAGUGCCAUAUCUGGGCGGCAAUAGCAGGAGGCUCCACAGGGCAGGCUGGCUCUCCCUCAACCAAGGGGCCUCAGCCCACCAGGGCCUAGAGAGUCAAAGAAGUGUAUCUGAGGCAACAAAAAACUCUGAACUAAUCAGAUCUGCAUUUGAGUCUCAUCUCUGCCAUUUACUAGUUGAGUCACCUUGGGCAAAUCAUCUCUCUGAGCCUCCCUUACUUACCUCAUUCAUGAAAUAGGAGGUGUCAGCGGAGCUCCAGCAGAUGAAAGCGGUUUCUACUAUCUCAGAGGCAAAAAGGACUGGAAUAUCUGGAUUCCAAGGAGAGAGUGAAGGAGAGCCGAAAGCAUGCCUGACUUGAUACUAGGAAGCCUUGACUGCUUUGUGGAAAUGACCUCUGUCAUUUGAGCCAUCACUGAGGACUGCGUGUGUGAGUGACUCAGAUCCUCCCAUCAAACUCUGAAGGGGGUAACCCCAGAAAGGGUCUGUGGUGGUCUUUGAAGAGAAAAACUCCUUUUCUUGG